rnacentral:lncRNA from 1 species
AGAAAUGUAAGAAAUUAGAAAGAUCUGAUGUGGAGAAUACCACAUCUCUUCUUACAAUCUUUUCACAGAAUGCCACAUGCUAACACAAAACCUAAUAAUAUUAAACUAUGUAUAAAAAAAAAAUGAUGCACCAUUCGUUGUAAUUUGACUUAACAUGUCUUUAUUCACUAAUUAACCAAAAAAGUCAAAAGUUAAGUAUGAAAACAUGGUCUAAUCUG